GAUGAAGAACGUAGCGAAAUGCGAUAAGUAAUGUGAAUUGCAGAAUUCAGUGAAUCAUCGAAUCUUUGAACGCACAUUGCGCCCGCCAGUAUUCUGGCGGGCAUGCCUGUUCGAGCGUCAUUUCAACCAUCAAGCCCCCGGCUUGUGUUGGGGACCUGCGGCUGCCGCAGGCCCUGAAAAGCAGUGGCGGGCUCGCUGUCACACCGAGCGUAGUAGCAUACAUCUCGCUCUGGGCGUGCUGCGGGUUCCGGCCGUUAAACCACCUUCAUAACCCAAGGUUGACCUCGGAUCAGGUAGGAAGACCCGCUGAACUUAAGCAUAUCAAUGGCGGAGGA
rnacentral:misc_RNA from 1 species